rnacentral:rRNA from 1 species
GACGAACGCUGGCGGCGUGCUUAACACAUGCAAGUCGAACGGAAAGGCCCUGCUUUUGUGGGGUGCUCGAGAGGCGAACGGGUGAGUAACACGUGAGUAACCUGCCCUUGACUGUGGGAUAACUCCAGGAAACAGGGGCGAAUACCGGAUAGGAGAUCCUGCUGCAUGGUGGGGGAUGGAAAGUUACGGCGGUUGGGGAUGGACUCGCGGCUUAUCAGCUUGUUGGGGGGGUAGUGGAUUACAAAGGCUGUGACGGGUAGCCGGCCUGAGAGGGUGACCGGCCACAUUGGGCCUGCGAUACGGCCCAGUCUCCUACGUGACGCAGCAGUGGGGAAUCUUGCACAAUGGGCCGAAGCCUGAUGCAGCAACGCCGCGUGCGGGAUGCCGGCCUUCUGGUUGUAAACCGCUUUCGCCUGUGCCGAAGCGUGAGUGACGGUAAUGGGUAAAGAAGCACCGGCUAACUACGUG